GCCGCCUGUGACGUCGUGAGAAGUCCUCUGAACCUUAUCAUUUAGAGGAAGGAGAAGUCGUAACAAGGUUUCCGUAGGUGAACCUGCGGAAGGAUCAUUGUCGA
rnacentral:rRNA from 1 species